GAUGAACGCUAGCGGCAGGCUUAACACAUGCAAGUCGAGGGGUAUAGUUCUUCGGAACUAGAGACCGGCGCACGGGUGCGUAAUGCGUAUGCAAUCUACCUUUUACAGGGGGAUAGCCCAGAGAAAUUUGGAUUAAUACCCCAUAGUAUGUUAGAGUGGCAUCAUUUUAACAUUAAAGUUCCAACGGUAAAAGAUGAGCAUGCGUCCCAUUAGCUAGAUGGUAAGGUAACGGCUUACCAUGGCUACGAUGGGUAGGGGUCCUGAGAGGGAGAUCCCCCAUACUGGUACUGGGACACGGACCAGACUCCUACGGGAGGCAGCAGUGAGGAAUAUUGGUCAAUGGACGCAAGUCUGAACCAGCCAUGCCACGUGCAGGAUGACGGUCCUAUGGAUUGUAAACUGCUUUUGUACGAGAAGAAACAACAUUACGUGUAAUGUCUCGACGGUAUCGUAAGAAUAAGGAUCGGCUAACUCCGUGCCAGCCGCCGCGGUAAAAC
rnacentral:rRNA from 1 species